rnacentral:rRNA from 1 species
UACGAAGGGGGGCUAGCGUUGCUCGGAAUCACUGGGCGUAAAGGGCGCGUAGGCGGCCUUCUAAGUCGAACGUGAAAUCCCCGGGCUCAACCCGGGAACUGCGUCCGAUACUGGAAGGCUUGAAUCCGGGAGAGGGAUGCGGAAUUCCACGUGUAGCAGUGAAAUGCGUAGAGAUGUGGAGGAACACCGAUGGCGAAGGCAGCCCCCUGGGUCAAGAUUGACGCUCAUGCACGAAAGCGUGGGGAGCAAACAGG